AUUGAACGCUGGCGGAAUGCUUUACACAUGCAAGUCGAACGGCAGCACGGACUUCGGUCUGGUGGCGAGUGGCGAACGGGUGAGUAACAUAUCGGAACGUAUCCAAUAAUGGGGGAUAACUAAUCGAAAGGUUGGCUAAUACCGCAUACGCCCUACGGGGGAAAGCUAGGGACCUUCGGGCCUGGCGUUAAUGGAGCGGCCGAUAUCUGAUUAGCUAGUUGGUGGGGUAAAGGCCCACCAAGGCGACGAUCAGUAGCUGGUCUGAGAGGACGACCAGCCACACUGGAACUGAGACACGGUCCAGACUCCUACGGGAGGCAGCAGUGGGGAAUUUUGGACAAUGGGCGCAAGCCUGAUCCAGCCAUUCCGCGUGAGUGAAGAAGGCCUUCGGGUUGUAAAGCUCUUUCGCAAGGGAAGAAAACUUACCCUCUAACAUAGGGUGAGGUUGACGGUACCUUGAUAAGAAGCACCGGCUAACUACGUGCCAGCAGCCGCCGUAACAC
rnacentral:rRNA from 1 species